rnacentral:rRNA from 1 species
GACGGACGCUGGCGGCGUGGAUUAGGCAUGCAAGUCGAACGGUAGGAUACCUUCGGGUAUCUGAGAGUGGCGAACGGGUGAGUAACACGUAGGUGAUCUACCCUCAAGAUUGGGACAACCCAGGGAAACUUGGGCUAAUACCGGAUGAAAGCAGCAGUGAUGUUGUUUGAAAGGUGGCGUAAGCUGCCGUUUGGGGAUGAGCCUGCGCUCUAUUAGUUAGUUGGCGGGGUAAAGGCCCACCAAGGCGAUGAUAGAUAGGCGGCCUUAACGGGUGGUCGCCCACACUGGGAUUGAGAUACGGCCCAGACUCCUACGGGAGGCAGCAGUCGAGAAUAGUCUACAAUGGCCGAAAGGCUGAUAGUGCGACGCCGCGUGAACGAAGAAGCCCUUCGGGGUGUAAAGUUCUUUUAUAUGUGAGCAGUGCUUUCUAUGUGAACAGCAUGGGGAAGAGAUAUUAGCAUAUGAAUAAGCAACGGCUAAACUCCGUGCC